CUACUUAUCUGGCAGGCAGGGGAGACCCCAAGAUCACGUAGAUGGUUUUCCCAGGGUGAAGUUUGUCCAUUGCCCUCUGGGUAUGCUGACCCCUGCAAUUUCCCCAAAUAUGGGAAACUUCACCUUGCAAUUUGUGGUAGUGGGGCAUUGUGUUCACACUCUUCUCUG
rnacentral:snRNA from 1 species